rnacentral:rRNA from 1 species
AUUGAACGCUGGCGGCAGGCCUAACACAUGCAAGUCGAACGGUAGCACAGAGAGCUUGCUCUCGGGUGACGAGUGGUGGACGGGUGAGUAACGUCUGGGAAACUGCCCGAUGGAGGGGGAUAACUACUGGAAACGGUAGCUAAUACCGCAUAACGUCGCAAGACCAAAGUGGGGGACCUUCGGGCCUCACACCAUCGGAUGUGCCCAGAUGGGGUUAGCUAGUAGGUGGGGUAAUGGCUCACCUAGGCGACGAUCCCUAGCUGGUCUGAGAGGAUGACCGGCCACACUGGAACUGAGACACGGUCCAGACUCCUACGGGAGGCAGCAGUGGGGAAUAUUGCACAAUGGGCGCAAGCCUGAUGCAGCCAUGCCGCGUGUAUGAAGAAGGCCUUCGGGUUGUAAAGUACUUUCAGCGGGGAGGAAGGCGGUGAAGUUAAUAACUUCACCGAUUGACGUUACCCGCAGAAGAAGCACCGGCUAACUCCGUGCCAGCCGCCGCGGUAA